UUUACCACCUGGGGAAAGUGUAUACAUAUAACCCUUUGUGCAAGUGCUCUUUUUCUGGCUGCAGAGAUCCCAAGGACCAGACUGACUAUGAGAACAACCUAGCCAUGAAGGUGUUCUUCUUCCAGUUUGUCAACUACUACUCCUCGUGUUUCUACAUCACAUUCUUUAAGGGCAGAUUUGUGACUUAUCCUGGAGAUCUGGUGUAUUGGCUGUGAAAAUACAGAAAUGAAGACGUGUGAAUACAGCUUUGUGUUCUGACA